rnacentral:rRNA from 1 species
GAUGAACGCUGGCGGCGUGCCUAACACAUGCAAGUCGAACGAGGUAAAUGAGAUGAAGUUUUCGGAUGGAUUCUUAUUUACCGAGUGGCGGACGGGUGAGUAACGCGUGGGUAACCUGCCUCAUACAGGGGGAUAACGAUUGGAAACGAUUGCUAAUACCGCAUAAGCGCACAGUACCACAUGGUGCAGUGUGAAAAACUCCGGUGGUAUGAGAUGGACCCGCGUCUGAUUAGCUAGUUGGUGAGGUAACGGCCCACCAAGGCAACGAUCAGUAGCCGACCUGAGAGGGUGACCGGCCACAUUGGGACUGAGACACGGCCCAGACUCCUACGGGAGGCAGCAGUGGGGGAUAUUGCACAAUGGAGGAAACUCUGAUGCAGCGACGCCGCGUGAGUGAAGAAGUAUUUCGGUAUGUAAAGCUCUAUCAGCAGGGAAGAAA